rnacentral:rRNA from 1 species
AUGGCUUUGCCUUUUCUGCGAGGUGCACAGUUUCUCCGGCCGGUCCACCAUGGAGCGCGACCUGUAUAUAAGUACGGCCUACCAGACUCCAUUCUCAGAACCAACCAACAGGGCGACCCAGCUCAAUUAUCUCAUCCAGCCCGACUACUCAGCUACCGCCUCCCCAGUCUCCAGCUCCUCCAACCUUGCUCGAUCCUUGAUCGAUACCUCUACAUGGCGAAGGUUCACCCUAACAUGGUGCCCGCGCCGGGCGCCGUCGACCAGGCGCCGUGCGCGCCGGCCAGCUCCACUGAGGAGCCGACGACGCUGACGGUGUGGCGCAAGUCGCUGCUGUUCGACUGCAAGGGGUUCACGGUGUUCGACGCCAAGGGCAACCUGGCCUACCGCGUCGACAGCUACGCCUCCGAGAGCGGUGACGAGGUCGUCCUCAUGGACGCCGCCGGCCGCCCCGCCUUCACCGUCCGCCGCAAGCGGUUCACCCUGCAGGGCGAGCAGUGGCUCGUCUUCUCCGGCGAGGAGACGCGGAAGCCCGUGUACACAGUCAGGCGCAGCGGCCGCGGCAAGACGUCGGCCCACGUGACGGCGUGCGCGGGCGCCGGAGCCGGGCCGUCGUACGAGGUAGAAGGGUCGUACGCGCGGCGGAGCUGCGUGGUGUACGACGGCGAGCGGCGCGCGGUGGCGGAGAUCAGGCCCAAGGAGGUGGUCGGCACAGACGUUUUCCGGCUGGUCGUGCAGCCCGGAGUCGGCGUGUCGCUGGCCAUGGCCGUGGUGGUGGCGCUCGAGCAGAUGUUCGCCAGGCCGUCGCUGCUCAGGAGCUGGUCCACCAUAGAUUAG